GAUUAGUCUGGAACUGUUGCAUCCAUGAGCUGACCUAAGGAUAAACCAUGAAGGAGCCUCCCAUGUGCAUUUGGAAUGGAAAAUAUAUAGUGUUUAGGAUAGUAGAGGUUCAUUACACUUCUUAUUUCUCAAAUAAAAUAAAUUCUUGCUGCCAGACACUAAUGAGAAGGAGCAUGAACACAGAUGGUACAAAAGUGCCAGUAAGUCAAUGACUGUUUUCGUCACCAUCCUGAAGCAAAGCAACAUUGUUAGAGACUUGGGUCCAAAUCUGAUCUGAAAAGAAAAAAAAAAAAAUAAAAAGGUUUAUUCCCU
rnacentral:lncRNA from 1 species